rnacentral:rRNA from 1 species
UACGUAGGGACCAAGCGUUGUUCGGAUUUACUGGGCGUAAAGGGCGCGUAGGCGGCUUUGUAAGUCACUUGUGAAAUCUCCGGGCUUAACUCGGAACGGUCAGCUGAUACUGCUUUGCUAGAGUGCAGAAGGGGCAAUCGGAAUUCUUGGUGUAGCGGUGAAAUGCGUAGAUAUCAAGAGGAACACCUGAGGUGAAGACGGGUUGCUGGGCUGACACUGACGCUGAGGCGCGAAAGCUAGGGUAGCAAACGGG